UAGCUCACCCGGUAGAGCAUGAGAUUCUUAAUCUCAGGGUCGUGGGUUUGUGCCCCAC
rnacentral:tRNA from 1 species